AAUGUAAAUGACUGACUCAGUGCUUUGCGGAGCGGGGAAGGAAGUCACAGUCACACCGAGUGACUCAUUUUGUGCUGUUAGUUCAGGCAGUUGGAUGAAAAGUUUUAGCAAAAGCAGCAAGUCUACUUUAAAUACUAGCACAGUAAGGAAAUUCCUCUCUUUCGGGCUGAAUGCCAUCCACACAAAAGAGCUCCUGUUGACAUCUCAUUUACAAUCUCCCCCAGGACACAGACAAGACCGUUUCAAUAAACCCGGCUCAGAAACACCUAUUGUUCAAAAUCUUCAACUAGCAACAGGCUACCAGCACUCCCUAUUGUUUUGUAAAAUAAAAGAUUUAGAAGGAGAAGGAUUGGGACUGUGGAAGCCAUGAACAGAGGAAGGAAAAAAACCUCCCUUUGACCUAGUGCUGUCCGAGGGCGUGCAUGAAGAAUAAAGUUAAUGGAUUUCCAUUUUUAUAAGAAGUGCAUAAGAAACGUUCGUUAUGUUCCAGAAGUGGUGAUUGGGAAUUCUAAGUCUGAUGCCAGUACUGUGUGUUAAGAAGCUAACUCCUGCCAACAUGCUAGCCCUAAACGAAAAGCCAAAAGCUAUACUUACCCUAUUCUCAGCCUCACGGAAGCCCUGAUAGCAGCCAGAGCAAAGCCCCAGGAGGACCCCAGUGCUGUUGACUUUUCCACGCAGUCAUGACUUUUGGGGAAGGCAGCUUCCAUGUCACCCAGACAGCUGCCGCCACAUCAUGCUGCUUCAGAAGCGGAAGUGAGGUGAAGUUAGGACCUUUCCGGGCCACAUGAGGACACAGGGAGAAGGCAGCCAUCUGCAAAUGAAGACAAAGACAAAAGCUCUCACCAGACAGCUAACCUGCUGGCACUUUGACCUUGGG